rnacentral:rRNA from 1 species
GACGAACGCUGGCGGCGUGCCUAAUACAUGCAAGUUGAGCGCUGAAGGUUGGUACUUGUACCGACUGGAUGAGCAGCGAACGGGUGAGUAACGCGUGGGGAAUCUGCCUUUGAGCGGGGGACAACAUUUGGAAACGAAUGCUAAUACCGCAUAAAAACUUUAAACACAAGUUUUAAGUUUGAAAGAUGCAAUUGCAUCACUCAAAGAUGAUCCCGCGUUGUAUUAGCUAGUUGGUGAGGUAAAGGCUCACCAAGGCGAUGAUACAUAGCCGACCUGAGAGGGUGAUCGGCCACAUUGGGACUGAGACACGGCCCAAACUCCUACGGGAGGCAGCAGUAGGGAAUCUUCGGCAAUGGACGAAAGUCUGACCGAGCAACGCCGCGUGAGUGAAGAAGGUUUUCGGAUCGUAAAACUCGGUUGGUAGAGAAGAACGUUGGUGAGAGUGGAAAGCUCAUCAAGUGACGGUAACUACACAGAAAGGGACGGCUAACUACGUG